UACGAAGGGGGCUAGCGUUGCUCGGAAUUACUGGGCGUAAAGGCGCGUAGGCGGCACUGUUAGUCAGGCGUGAAAGUCCUGGGCUCAACCUGGGAACUGCGCUUGAUACGGCAGAGCUAGAGGAUGGAAGAGGGUCGCGGAAUUCCCAGUGUAGAGGUGAAAUUCGUAGAUAUUGGGAAGAACACCGGUGGCGAAGGCGGCGACCUGGUCCAUUACUGACGCUGAGGCGCGACAGCGUGGGGAGCAAACAGG
rnacentral:rRNA from 1 species